ensembl:lncRNA
UGCAUAUAUACUCUUAUACUUAAAGACAUGAAGAAUUGGAAAAUAUGAAAAAUGUCUCCUGUGCUUAUGCAUCAUCUCAGGCUGUUUCUUUGAACCGCAUCUAUAGUUUAGACUCAAAGGGCCGCACGCUUCCUCUGUCUCUUUCCAACAGUGAAACAUCAAGAUGAAGUGAAUUGGAAGCAGGCAUGUGUGGCCAAAAAAUUGACAAUAACUCCAUGAAAUUCUCCAAGGAAUGUUUCUAGAACCUUGUUGAAUUUAUGCCUUGUUGAACUCACAAAAAUCUGUUCAGGAGAUAAAAACAUCCCACUUGUUUCUGUCUAGCUGUAGUAAACUGCAGAAUGUACGUGCACAUAUAUAAGAUGUGGAAUUGUUCCAAUGUAUGAGUGUAUUGCACAGGAAAAAUGCUGAGGUUUAAAAACGGUUCUAUAUUACCUUCUGACAGCCUUUUUCAUGAGUGUGUAAUAGCUGCUCUGGAUAUGUCUUCUUGAGAUGUGAUAUCUGCUGUAUCAUCACCUGUCCUCCUCUACUCUGCCCACUGAAGUGGCUAAACGUUGAGGCUCCUUGAAAAGUCUUUGGCAGCAAAAGCAGAACGAGGAGAUUCUCAAAUGGUUUUCUGCAUGACGUAACAAUUGAUCGGAUGAGUUUGUAAAGGCUUUUAGUGAGAGAGUUGGUGGUUUACAUUGGUUUAUGUUGAGUGGAGAUGGUGACAUGUGCAGUGGCCCUGAACUGAAGGAGGUCAAAAGUAGUUCAUAGUUGGUGGACAUGGUUUUCACUGGCCCACUCACAUUUCCGUCUCACUGGAUCCAGCAGGGCUAGACAAAUCCUGUGAUUAUUUUGACAUUGGAGUUGUCUGGCAUUGCAAUGUUGCUGCUGCUAAGAUAUCAAGAGCGAAGGACCUUGCGUGCACCGCCAUCGAAGGGUAACAUGAUCUCUCCCUUAAUUUUAUUAUUAAUACUUUGCUCCGGAGAUGAAGUUCAUGUAUUGGCAUAUAGUGAGGAGGCAAAUGCACUUUUUGCAUCCAUAUUGUGUUUUGAUUAAGUGUACAGUCCUACUUUUAAUUUAUACUGAAAUUUGGAAACUUUUGUAACAAUCUGUGUUAUACUGUAAAUUACAUUUUUAUGACUGGAUUCUGUCAUUCUGGUAAUGUUUUCUGCAUUGCAUAAAUCAUAUAGGGCAAGGUAAGAUGGCCUCUUAAUUUAC